rnacentral:lncRNA from 1 species
CUAAGUGCUGAAGGAGUGUACCAACACAAAGCAAGCUGCAAAGAUCAAGAAAGUAUUUUCCUUUUUUGCCUCCAGGUGUUAAAGGAAAUCAGUCUCAAAUCAUUAGAUGACCACUAAACUAGUGAAACAGAAACUUCAGUGUUGAGACAUGAAAAAGAAUACAGUCUUUACAAAGACAGUUUAGAAAAUGCACUAAGCAAAAACUACAACCUACAACAUGCAGCAAGAACAAACCUUGGGAAAGGAGGAGAAUUUGAUUUUCAGAGUUAACACAUUCUGAUGUUGAAAAUGUCGUUUUCAACAAAAAUUAUGAGGGACAUAAGGAAAUAAGAAAAUACGGCCAUUCACGGGGGAAAAAAAGAGAAACUAUACCUCAGGAAGCCCAGAGAUUGGACUUACUAGAAAAAGACUUUACAUCAGCUAUUUAAAAUAUGUUCCGAGAGCUAAAGGAAACAAUGGCCAAAGAACUAAAGGAAACUAGAUGAAUAAUCUCACCAAACAGAGAAUAUCAAUAAAGAGCUAUACCAUAACAAUAACAACAACAAAAUGAUAAUUAUGUGAGGUAAAGAAUGUAUUAACUAACCUUAUUGUGGUAACAUUUCACAAUAUGUGUAUAUCAAAUCAUCAUGUUGUACACCUUUAACUUACACAAUGUUUUAUGUCAAUUAUAUCUUAAUAAAGCUGGAAAAAAUAAAACAUUAUUCUUGGGGAAAAAACCAAAGAGAUAGAUAUCAUAAAAAAGAACUAAAUAGAAAUUGUUGAGCUGAAAGAUACAGUAAGGGAAAAAAAAUUACUAAAGGGCUUCCAAAACAUAUUUGAGCAAGUAGAAGAAAAAUAGUGAACAUGAAGAUAAGUCAAUUACAGUUAUCCAGUUGGAAAACCUGAAAGAAAAAUCAAUGAAGAAAACAGAAACUAAGAGAACUGUGGGACACCAUCAAGCACACCAAUACACACAUAAUGAGAAUCCCAGCAGGAGAGGAGAGAGCGAAAAGGCAGAAAGAAUACAUCAUGAAAUAAUGGCCGAAAACUUCCCAAAUUUAGUGGAAGACAUCAAUCUAAAUGUCUAAGAAGCUUGUCAAACUCCAAGUAAAAUAAACACAAAGAGCUCCACAUACCAAGACAGACAGAGAAUCUUGAAAGGACCGAGAGAGAAGUGAUUUGUCAUGUACAGAGAUCCUCAGUAAGACUAAGAGCCGAUUUCUCAUUAGAAACCAAGAAGGUCAGAAAGCAGUGGGAUGAUGUAUUUAAAACAAAAAAGGACAUUAUGUAUUGAUAAAAGGGUCAAUUCAUCAAGAGAAUAUAAUAAUUAUAAACAUAUAUGCACCGAACCAUGAUGCCCCAACAUAGAUGAAGCAAAUAUUCAUAGAAUUGAAGGUGAAGGGGGAAAUAGACAGUUCUAUAAUAAUACCUGAAGAAUUCACUACUCUACUUUCAAUAAUGAAUAGAACAGCCAGAAAGAAGAUCAUGAAGGAAAUAGAGGGCCUGAGCAAUACCGUAAACCAACUAGAGUCACUUGUAUAGAACACUUCACGC